rnacentral:tRNA from 1 species
GCUCGGGUGGUGGAAUGGUAGACACGCCAGACUUAGGAUCUGGUGCCCAAAAGCAUGAGGGUUCGAGUCCCUCCUCGAGCACCA